UACGAAGGGGGCUAGCGUUGUUCGGAAUUACUGGGCGUAAAGCGCACGCAGGCGGUUCGCCAAGUUUGGAGUGACAGUUGUCGGCUCAACCGACAAAGGACUUCAAAAACUGGUGAACUUGAGGACGAGAGAGGAACAUGGAACUCCAGGUGUAGUAGUGAAAUGCGUAGAUAUCUGGAAGAACACCAAUGGCGAAGGCAAUGUUCUGGCUCGUUUCUGACGCUCAGGUGCGAAAGCCAGGGGAGCGAACGGG
rnacentral:rRNA from 1 species